UAGAAUAAUUAGGUGGUGACUCUUCAACUUUAAUCAAAUAUGAAAUUGCCUAUAUGUUGUACCUAAUUUGACCCAUGUUAAAAUAAGGUGUAACAAAGGUCAAAGGAUAUAGCUUCAGUGAAAGUACAGUGGAGAGGUCGGCCUAUGGGGAGCUACCUGGGAGACCGAGCGGGAGAUGCAGAGCACAUAUCCUCACCUGUUUGAGGCUUUAGGUAUGUUUCUUGACCCGUUCGAGCACGAACGUUUGUUUAAGUUGGGGACUAUGUGAUGACCCGGCCAGUUGUUUGAGUUAUUGCUCCAUUUCUCCCAUUUAUAUUUCUUUAUACUUUGUUAUCCAUAUUUUGUGGUAUUGGGUUGGUCGGAUCGAGUCCGGAAUGAUUUUGGUAAGGUUUGAGACACUUAGUCUCUUUUAAGAAGGUUUAAGUUGGAAAAGUUCAACCGGAAUUUGACCUAUGUAUUUGAGGGCUCGGAUAUGACUUAGGAUGGUUCGGUUAGCUCCGGGAGGUGAUUUAUGACUUAGUAGUGUAAUCGGAAUGGGUUUAGGAGGUCCGGAGUAGAAUUAGGCGUGAAUUGGCGAAGUUGAUAUUUUGGCGAUUUCCUAUUGAUAGGUGAGAUUUUCUUAGAAGGGUCAGAAUAAAAUUCCGAGAGUUAAAGUAGCUUGCUUGUGUCAUUUGGGAUGUGAGUGCAAAAUUUUAGCUCAUUCAGAUGUGGUUUGGUUGUGUUUUUUUAUCAAAAGUGUGUUUCGGAAGAUUUUAGAAACUUAGGCUUGAAUCCGAUGUAUUUUGGGUGAUUUGAUGUUGUUUGAGGUGUUUUAUGAUUGGAACAAGUUUGAAUAAGGUUUUGAGAUGUGUUGGUACUUUUGGUUGAGGUCCUGGGGGCCUCGGGUGAGGUUCGGAUGGUCAAUCGGACAAUUUCGUGCCUUAAAAGAUAGCAGAAAGCUGCAGGUUCAGUGUUGCAUGAAAUUGCUCUUCGCGAUCACAUAGAAGGAAUCAAGGUAGGGCAUCCAGUUCGCAUUCGCGAUUGCAGGCACGCUAUCCCAUAGCAUGGGAGAAUUGUUCAUCGCGAACGCGUGAGCGAAGUUGCAUUCGCGUAGGAUCAAUUGGACAUGGGUCUUGGCAUGUCGUUUGUGCAUUGCGCGAUGCGGGGUUAUGUCCGUGAUCGCGUAAGGUUUUUCAUCUGGUCAUCGCAUUUUCAUGUUCUUUGUCGCAUUCGCAUAGUAUAUUUUUGGGGAGUUUAAACUUUGUUCUUCGGAAUCGCGAGGGAAGUGUCGCGAUCGCGAUGAAGGAGAUGAGGCAUGUGCAGAAUGUUUCUAAAGUCAUCUUAUUUGCAAAUGUAGGUCUAUUUUCACCCAUAGCUGCUCAUUUUGAGAGAUGUUUGAAGUAGAUUGAAGAGGGAUUCAAGGGGAAAUGAUUUGAGGUAAUAAGUUCGGACCUAAAACUUGAUUCUAUUGUGAAAUCUACCUAGAAAAUCAUGGAAAUUUAAGCUAAAAAUGGAAGAACCAGGGCUUGGAAUUUUGGACUUUUGAUUAGGGAUUGGAGGACCAUUUAGCGUCAGAUUUGAGAACUUUUGAUAUGUAUGAACUCGUGGGGAGAUAAGGAACCCAUUGAUGUAAAAAAUUUUGAAUUUUGAGACCGAGACUCGGAUUUUGCUAAUUUCGGGAUUUUUGGUAUUUUUUUAUUGUUUUCACUUGGGCUUUGUUCCCUUAGCAAAUUGUGACGUAUUCGUUCUGAUUUUGGAUAGACUCAAUGCGCGUGGAGGCCGAUUCGAGGGACAAAGGCAUUGCGAGCUAUAGAUUUAGCCGGUUAGAGGUGAGUAAUGAUUGUAAAUGAUGCUCUGAGGGUUGGAAACCCCGAAUUUGCACAUCGUAGAGCUAUAUUGAGGCGAGACAUGUGCUUGAUGAUGAGCGUGGGGUCGUAUAAUAUUGAGGAUUGUGACUUGGUCCGUACUAAUUGAUGUUUUUGCCACAUAUUUGACUGAAACUUAUUUUCUAUCAUCAUGAUUUGCGAUCAAUGCCAAUUAUAUGAACCUUUCGGGGAUUUUCAUUACUAUUUCCUUACUGUUUUGACUUAUUACUUGAACUCAGUCUUGAUAAUUUCCAUUGUUUUAUUAUUCAGCCAUUCUUUCUCAGUUUUUAAGACUUUAAUGAUAUUUUAAAUGAUGUUUGGGCUGAAAAUACUAUUUUACUAUUAAUCGAGGGGGUUGUGAUAAUUUUUGGACAGAGUAAUAUCGACUGUGAGGAACAUUGAUACCAAUUUGAGGACGAGGGCAUGAGAUACAUAUAUGUCACGAGGUGGUUUGAUUGAUACGAGGCCUAUAGCCUAGAUUUGAUUCCACGAGAUGGAUUGUUAUUGUGUUUGGGCCGUAAAGGGCCUCUCCCAAAGUCUGUACACCGCCAGUGAGCGCGGGUACCCAGUUGUGAUAUGAGAUUGAGCCCGAGGGGCUGGUACUCUACUAAAAUAUAGAUCGAGGGGUGGAUUUGUGGAUACUGAGCCGGAGUACUCACAUUACUCCUUGCAUCGUAUGUGCAGAUUUACACGUCGAUGUGUCGGGUUGGAUAUUCCAUACCUUAUUAUACAUUUUUCACUAUUUAGUAUCAUUUAAUCAUUCUUAUAUUGCUUUCAUGUUAAUUAACUGCUUAAAAUGAGAAUUUGGUUCAAUUGGCUGGCCUUUUCCUCACGAGAGGCUUUAUCACGACCGAGUUCGGGGUUAGUGUCGUAACAAAUAGAAAGGCAAUAGCAAAUCCAUAAAUGUUUCUUUAAGUCUUCUCUGGUGGAGGCCAGUGCACAAGUCCUAUACUUGUAGGAGCGAUUCAUGUGCACUUUGCUUUUCCUUUUGGCCUAUCUACUUUAGCUUUGUAAUCACACUUGGAAGGCAUGAAUGAAGAAAAUCACUAAUUUAUUCUA
rnacentral:lncRNA from 1 species